GACGACCGCUGGCGGCGUGCUUAACACAUGCAAGUCGAACGAAGUGGCGAACGGGUGAGUACCGCGUAAUCAACCUGCCCUUCAGCGGGGGACAACAGUUGGACACGACUGCUAAUACCGCAUACUGAAGGAGGGGUUUGCGUCUGAUUCGCUAGUUGGAGUGGUAACGGCCGACCAAGGCGAUGCUCAGUAGCCGGUCUGAGAGGAUGACCGGCCACAUUGGGACUGGGACACGGCCCAGACUCCUACGGGAGGCAGCAGUGGGGAAUCUUCCGCAAUGGACGAAAGUCUGACGAAGCAACGCCGCGUGAGUGAUGACGGCCUUCGGGUUGUAAAGCUCUGUUAAUCGGGACGCGGUACCGGAAUAGAAAGCCACGGCUAACUACGUGCCAGCAGCCGCGGUAAUAC
rnacentral:rRNA from 1 species